CCGGGCUGUAACUUUCCCCUUGGAGCCCACACAGAACAAGUUGCUCCCUUAUCCCACAACCUUUCAGUGACUAGUGUGGAGAAGAUUCAGUGAGACAUUGGAAGCCACUGGAGGCAGAGAUGGAGCUCCAGCUUAGAAAUGGGUCUCAACUACCAGCUGUGACACUUCCUGCUCACCUGGGUGGGUAGCCUUAGACAAGUCUGUGAAGCUUUCUGGACUCAUUUUUCUUAUCCUCUGAUGGGUAGAGUAGACGAGAUGCUCUCCAAGUCCCUUCCAGCCACAGCAUUCUUGGGAGAUUGGUUUUUUCUCAUGGUCAUCUGCUUCACGGCUUCCUUUGCCUCCUCUGCCUCCACCCCGUCUGGCCACCCACAUGCACUAAUGCCUUUCCUCACUCCUCCCCGUCGUCUGCUUCUCUCACCACUGGACUAGAGGAACAGGCAUACUCAGAGUUUCCCAUAAACACAGACUCUUAUGAACACCAAACAGAGAGACACUAGGAGGGGAGGCAGCACACGAGCCAGGCUGCCGUGGGCUCAGCUCCUCGGGUGCCUCAGGUGUGUCCUUAUUGACCGCCUGCUCUGUCUGCUGCAAUUUACCAGCGGCAUCCAGGAAGCUGGACAGGGCAACUGGGACCCCUCUAAAUAGAUGAAAAACCACAAGUCACAACUGGCUCCCAAAGGAAAGAGCGAUCCUUUUCUUAUGAACUUACACAACUUUUCUGGAGGAAAACACCCGUCACAGGUUAUUGAGGGCUUCUGUUUCUGUUCGUUCCCUUCUGAUGCUUGUCAAGUUUUCACGUUGUACAAUAAAAAUGUGCUUCCUUACAUGGAAUGAACGGGCCAUGGCUAGGACUCAGCUCUCGCUAUUGCCAGAUGACUCUCCAGAAAGACGCAACUGAUUUAUAGGGUCUCCAACGCCAUUAAAUAUGCCAUUUUCCCCAGCACAGAA